AUCCAUGUCAGACUACAAGUCUUGUAUGUUUAGUAAAGCGUCUGCUGCCUGCCUUGUAGCCAGAAACAAUCGCUCACCCUCGAUUGAAAACCACCAGAGCAAUCUCAUUAGCCGUUAAAAAGAAGGGGGUCACAAAGGAGAGAGAGAGAGAGAGAGAAAAAAAAGACGAUCAGAUAUGUCGCUAUACAGUAUAGCGUUUAGUAUUAUAUAGCCGACAAUAUAGAACACAUAACAUCGUCUUUCAUCAAAAGUGAGGGGCCCGUGUGUUUCCUAUACACAUCAACGGAGAGCACGGGAUGGAAAAGGACAACUUGACUCCAUACGCCGUUGGUGAUGUAGACAAUCUACGGAACGAAGGAGAAGAAAAUGAAUUGCCUUCGACUUGCUCCGGAUCAUAAAACUUCUUCAGUGCCAGUUCACCACCAUGAGAAAACUGAGAUUCGACCGAGCUCUCCCUGGCCUGAUAUUAUUAAUAUUAUUAGCUGGGCUUUCUUUAUUUUCUUUCUUUAUUUGUUGUUUGGUUUCCCCUUUGGUGAUAUUAUAACACACACAUGUCCUGAGAUGUUGAGUUUUGCUCGUGUCUACGCUCUACGUGGAAUUUGAAAUAAAAAUUGUGGACGUUGAA
rnacentral:lncRNA from 1 species